rnacentral:rRNA from 1 species
UACGGAGGAUGCAAGCGUUAUCCGGAUUUAUUGGGUUUAAAGGGUGCGUAGGCGGGAAGAUAAGUCAGUGGUGAAAUCCUACAGCUUAACUGUAGAAUUGCCGUUGAUACUGUUUUUCUUGAGUAUGGUCAAGGAAGGCGGAAUGUGUAAUGUAGCGGUGAAAUGCUUAGAUAUUACACAGAACACCAAUUGCGAAGGCAGCUUUCUGGCCCAUUACUGACGCUGAGGCACGAAAGCGUGGGGAUCGAACAGGAUUAGAUACCCCUGUA